GUGGGGAAUUUUGGACAAUGGGCGCAAGCCUGAUCCAGCCAUACCGCGUGGGUGAAGAAGGCCUUCGGGUUGUAAAGCCCUUUUGUUGGGAAAGAAAUCCUGUCGGUUAAUACCUGGCGGGGAUGAUGGUACCCAAAGAAUAAGCACCGGCUAACUUCGUGCCAGCAGCCGCGGUAAUACGAAGGGUGCAAGCGUUACUCGGAAUUACUGGGCGUAAAGCGUGCGUAGGUGGUGGUUUAAGUCCGUUGUGAAAGCCCUGGGCUCAACCUGGGAAUUGCAGUGGAUACUGGAUCACUAGAGUGUGGUAGAGGGAUGCGGAAUUUCUGGUGUAGCAGUGAAAUGCGUAGAGAUCAGAAGGAACAUCCGUGGCGAAGGCGGCAUCCUGGGCCAACACUGACACUGAGGCACGAAAGCGUGGGGAGCAAACAGGAUUAGAUACCCGAGUAGUCC
rnacentral:rRNA from 1 species